GAUGAACGCUGGCGGCGUGCCUAAUACAUGCAAGUCGAGCGAACAGACGAGGAGCUUGCUCCUCUGACGUUAGCGGCGGACGGGUGAGUAACACGUGGAUAACCUACCUAUAAGACUGGGAUAACUUCGGGAAACCGGAGCUAAUACCGGAUAAUAUAUUGAACCGCAUGGUUCAAUAGUGAAAGACGGUUUUGCUGUCACUUAUAGAUGGAUCCGCGCCGCAUUAGCUAGUUGGUAAGGUAACGGCUUACCAAGGCAACGAUGCGUAGCCGACCUGAGAGGGUGAUCGGCCACACUGGAACUGAGACCCGGUCCAGACUCCUACGGGAGGCAGCAGUAGGGAAUCUUCCGCAAUGGGCGAAAGCUUGACGGAGCAACGCCGCGUGAGUGAUGAAGGUCUUCGGAUCGUAAAACUCUGUUAUUAGGGAAGAACAAAUGUGUAAGUAACUAUGCACGUCUUGACGGUACCUAAUCAGAAAGCCACGGCUAACUACGU
rnacentral:rRNA from 1 species